AAACAUCAAAAUGUCAUUUAUUAAAUGUAGUUGUGUCAAAAUGACAUAUAAACAUCUUUUCCUGUCCUAUUUUUUUCUGGAAACGCCUUCCAACACACUUGCGUGUCGCGUGAAAAAUAGGCGGCGGUCCUGUUUCUAGCAUGCACGUGUUUUUUCAGGCGUGUGCAAGCUUUAACCUGUUAACAUGGGAGCCGAAAUAAAAAUGGACACGCCACGCAGCCAGCGUGCAGGAGCCCAAAAGAUGUUUCCUACCCUGAUGUCCUGGAUGAGCUGCUGGGUCGGCGUGUCGAUGGGAGCUUUGGUGUCGAUGACGUUCUGGAUGGCGUUGGCCCAACGCGUGGCCUCAUUCAGCAGCUUACAGUAGAGACGUGUCUUUGAAGACCUUUUCGUCCGGCUGAAUCACCGAGCAGAGACUGUUCAGCACCAGCGUUCCCAGCUUCAGGGCGUUACGUUCGGAGCUCUUAUAGUAGUCCAGGGAAUUGUGGGACUCACCACGGCAUUCUGGGGGUUGGCCUGCUCAUCGUGCAUCUCUCUGAUCUCCUGUUCUGUCGAACCGUGGACCUGACUCAGCACGCUGAACCACUGGCUGUAACCAUGGAAGCAUCACAAUCAGCAUCAUCAUCAUCAUCAUCAUCAUCAUCAGGACAACUAAAAGUUCCUUCUGGAAUAAUUUUAGUCAUAUUUUUUGCACACCCUGUUUUUGCACACCCUAAUUCCAUUAUCUCUGUCAUGCCCCACUGCAUUUUUGCUCAGAUGCACAUCCACACCUGCCCUUUUGCACCACUCAUCUACUCUUCUAUAUAUUGUAUAAUUCUGUUAUACUUGCAAUAACUGUAUAUUGACUCAUUACUACAUUCAGCAUUCUUAUAGACCGGUUAUGUCAGGUUUACUGUGUUAUGUCUGAUUUAAAUCAAUAACUAGCCCACAACCUGCACUAACUGUAUAUUGGCUCUAUGCUUCAGCUUCUUACAGACUGUCUAUCUAUGCAUAUUGCGUUAUAACUGUUCUAAAUCACUAACUGGUCCACACUUUGCAAUAUCUGUAUUUUGACCCUUUAAGCGGUGAUACAGACUGUCUAUUAAUGUAUACUGUGUUAUUACCAGAUCACUUUUGCGUAUCCCUAGGCUUACUUACACCACACAUUUGUGCCAGCUUUGUAACGCUUACUUAUUCUGCACUUUAUGUAGCAUUUAUGUAGCCUGUUGUAUUCUGUUCUCCUAUAUUGUGUUGAAUGUGAAACUGUAUGUUGUCCUGCACGCUUAUGCUUUUCUUAGCCAGGUCGCCAUUGCAAAUGAGAACCUGUUCUCAACGGCCUACCUGGUUAAAUAAAAAAUUAUAUAUAUUAUAUAUAAUAAUAUAAUAUAAUUAUGUCUACAUUUAAAAAAAAAUGGAAACAUUUCCUUUGGGUUAUUGUACAUGGAUUUUCAUGCAAAAUCCUUUUGUAUUUUUUUUUUUUCCAGCUUUACUUAAUAACCCUAACCCCUUUUACAUGUACAGGGGUGUAUGUUUUCAGUCUUCUGUCACACAUGUUGAAUACAUUGAAGUGAGGAAACUUUCUAUCUCUGUUUUCAGUAAAAAGAUUUUCAUGGGAUGAAAUUUGUCCAGUGGAAAAUUCAAGUAUAAGAUUAUUUUUUUUGUGGACAAUGUGCUAUUAAUGCAUCCCUAUAAUUAUCACUGUGUGUCAAUAUACUGUACAGUAAACAAUGGGGAUAGUAUUUUGAUUGUAAAUACAUAAAUGUGUGAGUGUGUGUACAAAUAAGGCAGCAAUAAAAGGUACAAAAAACGGA